rnacentral:rRNA from 1 species
CUGGCUCAGGACGAACGCUGGCGGCGUGCCUAACACAUGCAAGUCGGACGGGGUAUUUAAGAGGAAUCUUUCGGGAGGAAUCUUAAAUACCUAGUGGCGGACGGGUGAGUAACGCGUGAGCAACCUACCCA